rnacentral:lncRNA from 1 species
AUGUACAUAGCCGCGUGUCUGUUUCCCCAUUGUCUUGGCUCGCCGGGCAGAAUGCGUUGCUGUGGCGCUGGGCUCCCAGAGCACACUCACUGUUCAAGUCUCCACUCUAACGCUCACAGUGCUGUAAGGCAGCUAUGUGUGAGCCCACAGAGCAGAGGGAACUUGUCACACCCCAGGACUGCACAAGAAAAAUCCAGUGUGCCUCUGCCUUCAUUUGAGCGAAGUGAUGGGGCAGUACAAGGCGUUAGUAAGAGGGAAGCCUGCGGUAGAGGCUCUGCGCCGGAGGCAACGGGGAAGGAGGCUGCCUCGCCCUGGGAGAGAAGCCGAGGAGUCUCGGAAACACGGUGAAGAGGGCCACAGGCCUUCAAGAUUCCACGCUGCACCUUAGGCAGUAGGGGCAUUUUGAGCAAUGUCCCUCUCAGGUGAGUAGUGCUUGAAGCCGGGCCAUGACCUCACAGGUAGGGCCGACUAGCAGUUCUGGGUUGGAAUUGCGUACUCUGUGCCUUGUAAAACGAAUUCACCCUUUCCCCUACCCCUUCCUCCUUAGUGGUUAUUGCUGUCGUUGUCCUACCAACCUUGGUGGCUACUAAGUUGAAUCAUUUUUAAAGUUUGUUAAACCUUUUCUUUCUUUUUUUUAAAGAUUGGCCCUGAGCUAACAUCUGCCAAUCUUUGUUUAUUCCCUCUUUUUCUCCCCAAAGCCCCCCAGUACAUAGUUGUAUAUUCUAGUUGUGAGUGUCUCUGGUUGUGCUAUGCGGGACGCCACCUCAGCAUGGCCUGACGAGCAGUGCCAUGUCCGUGCCCAGGAUCCGAACGAGCGAAACCCCGGGCCGCCCAAGCGGAGCGCGCGAACUUUACCAGUCGGCCACGGGGCGGCCCCUAAACCUUUUCAGUGUUUUAAUUUUUAUUUCAUUAGAGACAUCUUGUUAUGCCUGUCUGUGAUAUUGUGAUUUAUAAUAAGAAAUAUAUAUUUGGUCUUUGACCCUGUUCCUGGCACAGAGCUCCUUAAACCCUUGGUAGUUCCUCAGGGCCGGCCCCGUGGCCGAGUGGUUAAGUUCUCGUGCUCCGCUUCGGCGGCCCAGGGUUUCGCCGGUUCGGAUCCUGGGCGCAGACAUGGCACGGCUCAUCAAGUCAUGCUGAGGCAGCGUCCCACAUGCCACAACCUG